GGGUAUGAGUGAGUAUGACAACUAGAACCAUAACCGGACCUUAAAAUCCUAAGUAUUGAAUCUUUGUAAGAAGAUACAAAGACAAAGACUCAUACGGACUUCGGCUACACUAUCAAUGCUUUGAGAAGCAAGAAGAAGCUUGGUUAGUGUUUUGGAUUCAAAUAUGACUUGAUGUCAUGUGUAUGAGUGAGUAUAAAGACUAUAACC
rnacentral:sRNA from 1 species